CCUACGGGCGGCAGCAGUGGGGAAUAUUGCACAAUGGGGGAAACCCUGAUGCAGCGACGCCGCGUGAAGGAAGAAGUACUUCGGUAUGUAAACUCCUAUCAGCAGGGAAGAAAAUGACGGUACCUGAAUAAGAAGCCCCAGCUAACUACGUGCCAGCAGCCGCGGUAAUACGUAGGGGGCAAGCGUUAUCCGGAUUUACGGGGUGUAAAGGGAGCGUAGGCGGCGAUGCAAGUCAGAAGUGAAAGCCCGGGGCUCAACUCCGGGACUGCUUUUGAAACUGUGUUGCUUGAUUGCAGGAGAGGUAAGUGGAAUUCCUAGUGUAGCGGUGAAAUGCGUAGAUAUUAGGAGGAACACCAGUGGCGAAGGCGGCUUACUGGACUGUAAAUGACGCUGAGGCUCGAAAGCGUGGGGAGCAAACAGGAUUAGAUACCCCUGUAGUG
rnacentral:rRNA from 1 species